AAUCCACGAAGAAUAAUUUUAAAAUCGCUACGGCGAAAAACUAAGCAUUAAUUUGAAUCAAAUAAAACAAGAUUUCCCUUGUCACAUAAUUGACUUAUGCUCAAGAGAUUAUGUUUUAGACCCUUAAGUAGCAAUAUAUGCUUAAUGGAAGAGGAGUCAUCCUUACCGACCGAUCCAAUGCCGAUAAGUGUUCCUUUGUUGUUAUCACCAAAAAUAACGCUUCCUCCUUCCUUGUGUUCUAGUUGAAGGA
rnacentral:lncRNA from 1 species